CCCCCACAUAUCUUGUGUGCCACAGCCCUUGCUUUGAGCAGCUCUAACACGAACUCACCCCUCCGCCCGCCCACGUCCACCGCCUUCCGCGGCCCUUCCCGCUUUCCCCGCCCACCCGCCACACUCUCUCGCCCCACACGGCGCCACCGCUUUGUCGCGCAUGUCUCGCCGGAAGUCGCAGAGGGAGGGUGACACUGAGAAUGUAAGCGCCGAGGACGACGAAAGGCACCCACGGCUGACGUCGUGCGGCAAUGGCGCUGCAACCGAGAAGUCGUGGAUGAACAGCUACUGGGACAACAUGAUGAAUGAGGAGAUGGACAUGAGCCACGUCCCCAUCUUCCUUCCAUGGCGCAUCGGUCUCUUCCUGCUGACGAGCACCAUCACGCAGAACAUGAACUACGUACUCGGCUCUUUUGCCACGACGAACUACUUUUCGUGGACGACGGCGCAGCAGAAGCAGUUCUACUCACUCUGCUACAACAUGCUCUACCUGGGCCCGGUGUUUGGUCUGAUCGUCGACCUGAUUCGCGUUGGACGCGAACGCUUCCGCCCAGUCAUCAUCAUCGCCUGCGUCAUCAACGCCAUUGUCUGCUUCGUCUGCUUUGCGACCAAGAACAUCGAGAAUCAGUACAGCAGCAUGCUCGUGCUCGCCUGGAUCAUGCAGGUGGCAACGAUGUUCAUCUACAUGCCCAUGAACGCCGUCGUAAUCAACUACGGCAACCGCCUUGUUGAGUCGUCACAUGAAACGUCGGCUCGCAUCGGCGGGCUGAUGUCACAGGCGAUGGUGUGGCGUACGGCGGGCUCUCUGAUUCAGACCAUCUUCUACCAGUUUGCUUACGGCGACGCCAUGAAGCCGUACGUCAACUACCGCUGGAUGUGUCUUAUCGCUGGCAUCUGCUGCUGCGUGCUCAUUCUGCAGGUUCUCUUCCUCACGAAGCGCUACUACUACACGGACUACCGCAGGGCCGCUAUCCGCACCUCCGAGCCCGUCGUCUUCUACCGCAACACGCUUAACAUGGGCAAGCAGGCCAUCUCCACUCGCAAGGAAGCCUUUGGCGGGCGGUUCAUGUUCAUUCUGUGCUUCACGUUCAUCUACUUCAUGCUGCCGGACGCGCUGUACAAUACCAAGUUCUCCUUCGAAUACCAGUACACCGAAACCUUCUCACUGAGUCUUCGCCAGGCCAAUUCCAUUCUGGGCUCACUCGGCGCCCUGCUCGGUGCGCUGGCGUACGCGUUGUGGAUGUACUUUGCGCAGCACUCCGAGGCCUCGCACGGUCGCAUGUUCCGCGCCAACCCCUUCAUCAUCUGCCUCGCCGGCUGCAGCGCUUGGGCUUUCGGCACGUUCUUCCACUUCUGGGGCGUGAUGGGCAGCACCAACGGCAAGUUCAACUACAACGUCUUCAUUCCCAUCGAGUCGGUCGUUGUGAGUGCCUGCCUGCGCUUCGCCUUCAUGCCGACUCUCUCGCUGGCGGCUAUGCAGGCGCCGCGCUUCUACGAAACGGCGGCGUUCCAGCUCUACAGCGUCAGCGUCUCCGGCGGCGGCGUGGUGAGCACUGCCGUCACGGUGGCCUUCAUGUCGAGCUUGGGUGUUACCGAGGUGAAUGGCUAUUGGAAGGCGCUUCCUCUCUUCAUGCUCUUCCAGUUCGUACCGAUGGUUAUUGCGCCGACCCUGCCCAAGUUCCGCGAGGACGAAACGCUGCCUGCAGCAGGGGAGAACGACGAGUCUCUGGAAGCCGACCAGGCGCAGUGGCGCGAGCCGAGCACCUACAGCACCAAGCUCGCUGACGCUCGCGUGGCAUAGAGCCCCGAAACGGAGACUAAAUAGUACGCCAUCCUGCGACUCUCUCUCGACCCCUCACUAUCGUUUCUCCUCCGCUGUGUGCGGCUGCCACACUGCUUCCUCGUUUCUCUGCAGGCACCAAGACAGACGAGUAGCGUGACCACUUACUGCGUUUUUUUCUUCCUGGACUUCCCUUCAGCCUUCUUUUAUCUUUCCUUGUCUUUCCUUGCUUUCUUUGUUACUUUCUUGUCUCACGCCUCGAUUCGGAUCCUCGAUCCUCGGUUCCUGCUUCUCUGUAUCACUCUCUCUCUCUCGCACAACGCGAGUUACCGGCAUCCGGCGCGUGGCAAACGGAGAGAGGGAAGGGACAAGAGGCCAGAUUUGGUGCAGCGCGUCUUUGCGUUACGGAAACUU
rnacentral:misc_RNA from 1 species